rnacentral:rRNA from 1 species
UACGUAGGUCCCGAGCGUUGUCCAGAUUUAUUGGGCGUAAAGCGAGCGCAGGUGGUUUAUUAAGUCUGGUGUAAAAGGCAGUGGCUCAACCAUUGUAUGCAUUGGAAACUGGUAGACUUGAGUGCAGGAGAGGAGAGUGGAAUUCCAUGUGUAGCGGUGAAAUGCGUAGAUAUAUGGAGGAACACCGGUGGCGAAAGCGGCUCUCUGGCCUGUAACUGACACUGAGGCUCGAAAGCGUGGGGAGCAAACAGG